rnacentral:lncRNA from 1 species
AUAUUAAAUGAAGCGAAUGAAAUAGAUACGAGUACUUAAAAGUAGAGACAAUUUCCUCAAAGGCUUGAACAGGUCAUGAAUACAGAUUGGUUUCUUGAUAAUUUACACCGGUGAACAUGUCAACAGAUGGAUUGCUUUUUCAAUCCAAUUAAAAACGCUUAACGUACGUUUACAUGAAUUACAAAAACAAUUCUACUCAAAACUAAACUUGGGGAAAAACAUAAAAAAGAAAGGAGGAGGAUCAGAGAAAGGAAUACACAAGAAAUUAAGACUUGGUGAAAACACUUUUUUCACCUUCAACUCGUGUUUCCAUUGGAACUGCCAAUCCUCUAGCCAAUCCUACGGGAUCAACCACAAAGACAUUAUCAAACUUAAUCCAUUGCUUAACACUGUUCAAGAAGUUUUUUUCUUUUUUGUUUCUGACAAAAAUACCAAAGAUGGAGAGUGGAGUUUUACGACCUUCCUCAGUUGGGGAACUGUCAAGGGGCUCCCCACAUCUCGACAGUUCCACACCAUAGCUUUCAUUUAACAUUUAGAGCCCCAAUAAGGGUGGGCUCCAACCCCUCAACUAGUUCCAUCUCCUUACAGUUUCCUUCAUCAGCUUUUAUUUUCUUCUUAUUUUCCUUCCCUUCUUGUUCCUUCCUUCCCUCCCACUCCAUGGUCUCCAUCUUCCUUUUCCCUCUCUCAUUCCCCGCAUCAACCUGAUUAACUUCCACCAAAGGCCUUCUUCUACUUACUUCCAGAAUCAGUCUUUUCCAUGUUUUGUUUGCCUUAUACAUUCCUUUCUCUCUAUCCCCCUGCUUUUCCAGUUUCUUUUUGUCUUCCAUUGCUCCCUUGCUUCCAAUACUCUUCUUGCCAUCCCCCAGCACCCUACUCUCAUUCCUCACCCCAUCAAUGCACAUAAGAUCAGUCAGCUCUUCCACAAAUCUCUCACUCUGGCUCACCUUUUGUUUCAAUUUUUGAUUCCUUUCCACCCUGGUGCUACUUUAACCACCCAUGUCCUCUCUUUCUGUCUUACCAUCACCCUUAUCCCCCAGGCUCCUUUCCAUUUUCCCUCCUACUCCUUUCCCAAUCCCCUCUUCCUCCCCAACUUUCUACUCAAUUAGAGACUCCUUCUCUCCCAAAUGAACCUUCCUAAUCACCUCUUCCUCAGUAUUAGGUCCCACUCCCUCCCUCUCAUGAAAUGCUUCUGUAUAUGUUAACAGCAAUUUUUUAUCCUGAGCAUUACCCUCACUCAUAGUCUGAGUUGAGAUUCCUCUUUUUCAGCCCCUACAUUCGUUCCCAUUCCUACUUCUCCUAUUAGGACUUCUAGGAUAGCUAGCUCUCAACUAAUUCCCAUACUGAGGUUCCCUCUCCUUAGCCAAUCCUUUCCUCCCACAGUUCCUCUCACUAUGCCCAACCAUACCAUAGCAGAAAUAGAAAUCAGGACAUUUUUCGUAUUUAAAUUCUAUCCAUCUCACCAUUCCAUUACUCUUAACCAUAAUUCCCCUUGGUAAAGGAACAGACAGAUCUAUUUCACCAAGGAUUUUUAGAUGUUUACCUUCUUUCCCUCCUCCCUGAGGAAUGAUCACAUCCUCCACUCUUGCGAAAAUGCUUGCUAUCUUCUUACCAACAUCCUUGGUGAUCCAAUGAAUUGGAAUAUUCCAGAGCUAAAUCCAUAUCAAUGCUUUACUCAACGCCUCUCCAUCCUCUUCCAGGCCAGCUCUCCAUUUCAAUAGGAUCUGAGAUUGACCGUCAUAGAUCCACGGUCUCUUAUUCAAAACCAAUUCCACAUCCUUCUCCUUCUAAAAAAGGAAUUGAAACAAGUUGCGACCAAUCUCCACCACUCUCAGGUUCCUCACUUGAGGCCACAUAACCCCUACAAAAUUCCUAAUACCUCCAAUGUUAGCUAGUUUAACCCCCUAAACUUUCCCAAUCAGGCUCAGUUUGCACUCCCUGACACCUUGAGCCAUCACCUCCUCCUCCAAACAGACUCCAUCUCUUUCUUCCUAUGAUAACUUGAACUUUCUUAAGACUUCCUCUAUAUUGUCCAUGACACCUUCCACAGACCAUACACUGAGAAUUCCAGUAGCUACCAAUCCGGCACAGAUCCAGAGCCAGUCAGAGUCCUUCGAUGCCUCCUUAUUAACUCCCAGCACCAGCUAGUUUUGCCACACACAAAGAAGACAAGCGAGAUCAAAAUAGCAAGAAGACAAAAGAAAACAAAUCAGAGAAUGUAAGACCAGAAGCUGAUCGAUUAGAUGUAGCUAGGCCACAUCAAAUCACGGAUAAUCGAACUGGAGCGAAGUUAUGGCUAUCACAACCAGCAAUUCUACUACGAGAUCAAAAGUAAUGGAAGAAAUCUACAAGUUUCCGUGAAUAGAAAGUUUUUUAAACCGAAACCUAGCUGAUUUUGAAUUUUCCUAAAUGAGUAACCACCCAUAAGGAGGACUUUCUCUCUCUAGGACAGAGAGAAUUCUCUUCCAUAGUGAGAUAAUGUCUCUUCUUUUUACAUGUCCCUUACUGUUAAGAUUUAAUUCAACUUGUAAGUGACUUAUUGUGGAGAAGUUGCCGAUCCCGAACUAAUUUGCUCCUUAAGUCGCAUUGUUCAGACAAAAGAAUUGUUCCGGGGCUAGUAUUCUUGGUGACACGGGAUUAUAUUUUUUGGAAGCAUAAUUGCCAAAUACCCGUAGGAGGAGGUUGUGGGUGUAUCUUUCACGGCAUUGGUAUCUUUUAUAUUUUUAUUUCAUUGAUUUUCUUUUUGGGAUCCAUAUGGAUUCUAAACUUGAUACUUGAGGCAUUGAUGGUAAUGUCCACUUUUAUUCAAGUUAAAUUUGAGUAUUUGUUUUUUUUUCCCACCUCUUCCAAAGUGAAAGUUUUAUUUUUAGUUUCUUUGGGCUGAGCUAUUUCGUAUUCCAAGCAUACUCAGUCAUUUUGAGUUUGUUUAAGCUUUUGAUCAUUUUUCCUUUGGUUUAUUCUAAAUAAAAUUUUGUUUUGUUAUGCUGGUGAUUUAAUAGUGCUUUAUUUGCUUGGUGAGUCAUUCAAUAUUGUCUUUGGUCUGCAUUUCUUGAGAACUGAUUCAAUCAUAUCUUGUUUUGACUGAAAGUGAAAUUGUCCAGAUUGCAAUGUGUAAAAUUGCCUUCUUCCCCUUUUUUAAGAUGGAAGAACUUAAAAAUGAUUAUUCAUAGUCCAUCCAACAAUUGAGAUAAUGGUUUUGGUAAAGCUUUCAGCACAUAAAUAGCAUGAUGCUCGUAUUUUGACCAUGUAAGUCGAAGUAGUAGAGCUUCUGUAAUUACAUGUUCGCAGAUUAAUAAAUGCUUUUGGUUGUAGUGUACUGUUUGUGCUUUGCACGAUACAUAUUUUAAAGAUAUUUUCUGAAUAUUAUAAAUAUGGGUGCACAUGAAAUGCCUAGCAGUUUAUCCAGUAAUCUAAAUAGAGAAGAUUAAGUAUAAUCCUUAGAGGUUAACAUAUUUGGGGUGGGCAGCUUCACCUGGUACUUCUACUUGAGAUGUCUACCCUUGCCAUCCAAACCUUAUUUUCUCAUAUAUUCUUCAAUAGUUUUACCAUAGCUUGCUUUAACAGCUUCCUGCCUGAGGUGAUCUUGGGAAUUAUUUAUAGAAGGUUAUUUUGUUAUGGUUGUUUUGAUAAUCAAAAGUUGAAAUUUCUGUUUUGCUAAAAAAUAUUGAUGCUUUUAACCUCAUUCGAAAGUUAUAAAUUUUCUCUGUCAUUUGGUUAAUUGCAGACUCGACAAUUGAUUUCUUCUGGGGCUAUGUGGCUGAUCUCUUCCUUUAGGCAUUUCCAACUCAUGCAGCCAUAAACUUGAAAACCACCUUGUCAUGGCAACUGGCAUGUUGAGGAAAAUAAGGAAAAAUUAUAAAUUUUUGGUUAAGUUUAGCCGCUGGCCAUAUGUAUUAAUAAUUAUUAUGGUUGGGCUUGGGGUCGGAGUUCGGCAAUUUGUCGUUGGCCCCGAUGGCAAACGCUUGAAUCAUCAUAAGAAGUUCUCUAGUGAACAUCUGUGGUGUAGUGUGUUUUUUUUGUGUCUUCUGGGUGUGUUGGUAAUGUUUGCUAUGCAAUUGGUGAUUUCUAGGUUGAAGAAAAAGAAAUGGACAAAAACGGAAUCAAUGGUAAAAUGUUUGGCAAAAACUGUCCUAGGGGUUGCUUUCUACUUUCUCGCUAUGUAUCUAGGCGCAUGCAUAGUUGAAGAUCAAAAAUCUUUUCUCUCCCUAGUGAUAAUGACGUGGUCCAUAUGUGCUGGUAAUUAUCACGGUUGGGCUUGGGUAGGAGUUCAACAAUUUGUUGUUGGGCACGAUGGCAAAUGACUAAGAAUUGACAUGCAUGUCUCUGGUUAUAGCCUAUGAUGGAUUGGAUUUAGUUGAUACUUUCUAUGCUUGCUCAUAAUAUUUGGGGUGCAUUUGGGAUCUCUAAUUGAAGGAGAAGGGUUGGGGUAGGAUUGAAACAUUCUUGUAAAAUCUUUGAUGAUAGCGGCUCUAAUGAUUGCUUUCUACUUCCUAUCGAUCAUGGACGUGUCAUGCUUUCUACUUCCUAUCAAUGAUGGACGUGCAUAAUCAUGGAUCAAAAAUAUGUUUUUGCAUCCCAAGUGAAAUUGACAUGCAAAUAGUCAGAAAUCUUUUGUUAUCUCGCUAUCCUUCAACUUCAUUAGAUAAGCUUACCAUGAUUUAGGCUUUUCAAAUCGACAAACCCCCAACCUAUCAACAGUAUCUAUUACAUAAUUCACCCUAACUAAUCUUAACAAACAUACAAAGAUAUUAAAAAAAUACACAUGCAUUAACAAAUAUGUUGUUUCUUAUUUAUUAUACACUCUGAUAUGUUGUAUAAUAGAUCUUAUUUAUUAUUGUUAAAUGUAUAGCAUCUCAUGCAUAAGUUGCAAAAUGGAUGAUGAUAUUUGGAUGUUUUGUGUUUUAUGGAGUGAAACACAUAUUUUCUACCAAUAAAGUGUGACAACAAUAUCUACUAAUUUAGACAAUACAUAACAAAUACUUAUUUAUACACAUGUAAGGUGGUUGAUAUUAAAUUGAAAUAUGCUAAAAAAAUACAAUUAUAUGUACGUUUCUGAUAUUUAUUGUAUUAACUUUUAUCAUGUAUUAUAAAAUAUAGAACAUAAUGUAGUUGUAUCAAUUGAAGACCAUAAAUCACAAAUGCAGAACAGAUUCCUAUUUAACUCUAAAAAUAGAAAAUAAGGGACUACUUCCUAUUAUAGCUUAAAAACUUUAUUUAUUCAAUUGGCCUUAAUUUAAAAAUAUACAAUUUAUUUAAAUUUUUUGACUAUUUGUAAUGAUGAUUUCUAAACCACUAUAAAUAAUAUGGUUUUUGACAAGUAAGUUAUGAUAUUUGUUUGGCAUUUAUUUAUAGAUCUAUUAAAAAUUGAUUAAAAAGGAAAAUGAUGACAGAUCCAUAAAAAAGAAUAAAAAUUCUACUUUGUCCUUUGUUCUUGUAAAUGGAGAAUAUAACCAGUUAUAUAUGCUCUAAACAGCUUGGUAAAAAGAACCAAAAGAACUUUAGACAAUGAAGAGUACAAUUAUGAAUUAAAUUUUGAAUUAAUUAUUUCUUUCUUUCUUACACUAAUUGACUUCCUAUCUAUGUUUAGGAAGAGAAAUACCCCCGUCUUCCUAGUUUCUGUAAAUAUUUAGAGUCAAACAAAAGGCAUCUUUAUUCAUAUCACUAGGGGUUAAGUAGAGGUAUUUCCUUAAAUAUUUUACAUCUUAUAUAAAUCUACAAGGUGGAAAGGUUAUAGGGAUAUUAUUGAACAAUAGGAGGAUUAUGCGGUAUUUUAAGGAAAUUGCUAUUUCCGUUAAAAUCAUUGAAUAACAAAUAUUUCGUCCACAAUCAUAAAUAGAAAAUAUCUGACUUUAACACACAUACUAGCAGUAAUUCAAGAUGAUUGCAACUGAUUGAACAGCAUAUGAAAUGCAUUCUAACAUUCCUCACUUUCUUGAUGGAGUAACUUGUCAACUACGUAGCUCAUUGUUGGUCCUGCAUCUAGGUCUUCCCCUAAGAGUUGGAGAGUAACUCGAACUAGAAAUUCAAUAUUUGUCAUAUCAAAUUCAACAUUCAUGGCAAAGUUUGCAAUUUUUGCAAUCACUGUUGGUGAUGUUCUUCCAUUUGUUUCAAGCAUCUUAUCUUUCACCCAUGUAACGUGAUCGACAUUGGAGUAAUUAGUGCUAUUCUAUUCUGAGCUAAAGACUUAUUACAAAAAUCAGUCAAUGGGAUUAAUUGUGCUUAAAAAUUGAAACACUUGGGACCACAUUUACUUUCAUCUAAACUUUAUGAACUAAAACUGCUCACGCCCUAAACAUUGGAGAUCAAAACCACAAUUCUUUCUAUUAUUCAACAAUAAGAGGAUUGCUUUGUAAUUUAAAGUAAAUUACUAUUUGCCUUAAAUUCAGAAAGAGAAAUAUUUCUUACUUUUAAUAUUUUGUUCACAACAGUAAGGUGGAAACAUAUAAAUUAUAUGAACACCAAAUAUCUAAUUUUAACACACAUAUUAGUCAGCAAUUUAAGAUGAUCACAACUCAUUGAAAAGUAUGUGAGAUGUAUCCUAAUAUUCAUCACUUUCUUGAUGGAGCAACGUGUCCAGCACUUGGCUCAUUGUUGGUCUUGCAUCUUUGUCUUCCUCUACGCAUUGGAGAGCAACUUGAACAAGAAUUUCCACCCUUGCCAUAUCAAAUUCAGCAUUUAUGACAGGGUCUACAAUUUUUGCAAUUGCUAUUGGUGAUGCUCUUCCAUUAGCUUCGUGCAUUUUCUCCUUCACCCAAGUAACUAGUCUCCUUGGCUCCAUUGCACUGGUGCUUUCCUCCAUAGAAUGGCCUUCAACUGGGCUUCUUCCAGUUAAUAAUUCCAGCACAACAAUUCCAUAACUAUAAACAUCAACUUUGGAGGUUAUAGGAAGAUUGAAAACCCAUUCAGGGGCCAUGUAGCCUCUAGUUCCCCUUAUCCUAGAAAACGUUGAUUUAUCUGUCCCACCUCUAUUCAAUAGUUUGGACAGGCCAAAAUCUGCCACCUUCGGCUGGUAAUUCGAAUCCAAGAGUAUGUUUUGAGGCUUCACAUCACAGUGCAAAACCCACUCUAAGCACUCUUCAUGCAAGUAAGCAAGUCCUUUGGCUGUACCAAGAGCAAUAUCAUACCUCUUUUUCCAGUCAAGUCUGUUAGAAUGCAGAUUUUUUGCUAGAGAACCAUGCUCCAUGUACUCAUAAACCAAUAGCCUGUGCUUACCUUCAACACAAUAUCCCCAUAUCUUAAUCAAAUUCAUAUGGUUCAACUUGCCAAUAGUACUCAACUCUGCAAGAAAUUCGGCUUCUCCCUGGUUGGCUUCAUUGAGACACUUUAUGGCAGCAACUCGAUUAUCUGUCAACACGCCUUUAUACACAAUGCCUCCCCCUCCUCGUCCUAUUUCUGCGCUGAAGUUUCUUGAUGCCUUUUUCAACUCAGCAAAAGUGAAUUUCCUGAAUCCUGUUGCAACCUGAGUGUAACCCUGUAUUCUUGCACUAGAUCCUCGUCGGGUUUUGAACAAGUAAGUGAAGAAACAGAGGAUCUCAAAAGUCCCAACUGCCAAAGUGCACCGCAAGGAUGACUUCACCCACCCAUGUUGACCUUUUUUCUGGUAUGCUCGGCCGAGUGAAGCAGCAUCGACUGUGCACUUUAUGUUGGUUUGUUGAAGAGGCUUUUGAUCAAAUGAGGUUAUAAUAGAUUGGGGCAAUCUUAGAUAAAUUGGGAAAUCAAAACCACUUGAACGAUACCCAUUGAACAAACUGGCCUUAGGGUAACAAUUAUAAUAGCCUUUAUCUUUAUCAAAUUUGAAUUGGAAGCCUUUACAACUGCAAUAGUUGAGGCAUAAAUUUUGACAAUUAUCAAGCGUGGAAUUACUAAAGAACCCAAUAUCAUAGCCAUAAAAUUCAACAUUUUGGAGAAGAAGAAAACCUGAUGCAUUACUAUCAUUGUAUGGCAGUUGGAAAUCUGGUUCGCAUCCAUAAGCCCAAUCUUUCUGGCUUUUGAUUUUGUAUCCAGGUGCACAAGUGCAUUUUCUUCCGGUCUCAUGCGCGUAAGUGCACAAACUAUUUUCUCCACAUAUCCCAUGAACUGUGCAUGGUUGCAGUGUGGAUUGCCACGUAACUUUCCAAUUCCGACUUGCCAUAUCAAGACUGUAGACCCGGACAUUGCCAUCAAAAUCCACGGUCAAUCUUCUUUGUAUGCCUGGACCAUAAUCAACAGUAAUAAUGUCAAACUGAUCUGAUGACUGGAAUCUCCCCCAUGAAUCAAGAGUGGCAACCUUACUGUUGUUAUAAGGGUACCUCCCGUUCUCCCAACUAUGUUUCCAUGGGUCAGGCCAUGAAAUACCUGCUGUUUGAGGACCCUGGUACAAUAGACUAAGGACGUUAUCAUCACCAAAGUAUAACUUGUAGAAUCCAGAAGAAUAAUUCGUCAGGCUUCUGGAAGAUAUGAGAACAGAGUUUUGGGUGAGCGACUGCCCUGGAAGAAGCGUGUUUGUUGGGGAGUUAAAGCUUUGCCAAAGAUUUCCGCCCUCUAUAUUGCUCAGCACAAGAUUGCCAUUGUCAUGGAGUUGCAAUUGAAGAGAAGAGUUUGAUUGCGUGCUACUUGUCCAAACAGUAAACUGUCCUGCAUCUGUCAGCACAAGACUGCCAGACUUGAGCAGGGAAAGCCUGGAAUUUUUUCCAUUAACCGGUCGGUCCCUAUUGGCCAUCCAGACAAUGGUGUAAUUUCCAUGAUCAUAUAGCUCAGUAAACCAUAUACUAAAGCAAUACGCAUUCUCGCCAACACUGAAAAAUCCCGCAGUGAAAUUUCCAUGCGGUUUUGAAAUCAGAACAUCUUUAGAAGAAAGUGAUGAUCCUGUAGUCAAACUAUCAGUGCUUUUCGAGGAUGAUACAAAUGCUAAUAACAAAGCUAAAACAGAAAUUAAGAUAGCAUUAAAGAAUAGACCCAUUGGAGUUGGAGAAGUGUAAUUUUGCAAGUACAUGCAUGCAAACUUCUUGUGGACAAACAUGGCAGAAAGUAGAGGAAUAUAUAGAUAGUAUGAGUGGUCUCUCGUAAGACAUGACUUCUUGACUUCUUGUGGUUUGUGGAACUACUUUUUGCAUAUUGGAAGUCAAGCCACUUUGAUAGUAUGAGUGGUAUCUCGUAAGACAUGACUUCUUGACUUCUUGUGGUUUGUGGAAUUACUUGUUGCAGAUUGGAAGUCAAACCACUUUGCUUUUUAAUUUUCUCAGGAGUUUGGCUUUGAUUAGACUGGUGUAGCUGGGAAUCAUCGCUCAAAUGUAAACUAGAGAUGCACACUUCCAGUUAUGGAGAUAAUUUGCUCGAGUUUUUUUUUCCUGUAUACUUACUAGAACUAUGACACUUUAUUUCUUAGAGGCUUGUUAAAAUCCUCAAAUCUGGUGAUAGAGAUAGAACAUACAACGAAAAGCCUAAUAUACACAGAACACUCUCUUUUCGUUUUUCUUUUUUGUCAAUUCCUGAUUUGGACUGGAAACAUUUUCAUAUCCUAGUCACCAGCUCGUCCCCCUCGGUAAGUAUCCUUUCAUUUAAUUGGGUGGUUCAUCCCAACUUCCAUGCAAGUCUCUUUAAACUCCCUUCAUAGACUAAGAAUAAGAGUAAGUUGGAUAAUUGUCAUUACAAACCAACCACUUCUAGAAUAGUUGAUCACUAAAAGAGUUUCAAUGCUCUACUUGGAUGUAAGACAAUGAAUCAAAUCUUUUACCCUACAUUCUAACAUUCAAGCUUUCCUGGAAAUGUUUAUUUAGCAGGUGCAUGGGCGUCCCGUCUAAACUGGGGAUGGUUCACCGGACUCCCCUAAAAAAAAAAUCUAAUUGGGUUGAGGCCGGAGGGGAUUGGGUCACUGGUUUCUCUAUAUGUUUUCAGAAUAAAAAGAAGUAAAUACUGUGUUAACCUUGGGGAGCCCACUACUUACAGCCCAUUUGUCCCCAACAUCUAACCUUUGGUGAUCAAUUAUUAAUGUGAUAAAUUUGCAUCCCCAGCUACCUCAUGUCUAUUGUCCGCAAUAUGUGUCUGUCGGGCAAUCACGUGUCCUUAACUAUGCCCUCCCUUUCUUCACUUCCAAAGAGUUCUCCUUGUAUUGGAAAAAGAAAAAGAUUUAGACCCUCUUUGAUAAUCUAAUGUCACAUUUAAAUUUAAUGAAUUCAAAUUUUAAUAUAUUCAGACUCAUUUGAUAGCAAAUGACACUGAAUUUUCUAGACAAAACUUGCUCUCAAAAUUAAGUGAUAAACUAUUCACUUAUUACUGAAUGUGAUAUAUACUCAAAUAUAUUAGAUUUAACACUUGACAAUUCAAUAAUUCAAUAAAUUCAACUUUCAAAUUUUAAAUUUUAGAUUUCAAACUUCAGUUUUUAAAUUUCAAUUUUAUCAAACGCACCCUUAAUAACCAUUAAUCCCAGAAACCCAACUCCGGUAGGCAACCGUGAGGUCCCGAUUCAGUCUUCCCUUUUUACUUGUAAAGUCUAGAGUUUCUCCUUCAUUCAUGUUACAAAAAAAAAAAAAAAAGGAAAAAAAAGGAGGAAGUUAACAUCCAUUAUUCCGUUUGCAUCUCUCUGAAUUUUCUACAGGUAAUAUUGUACAGCUGCGAGUUCUAGAACUACGAAUGGGAUGCAUCAAUUUUAACCGAAAUUAUUUUGUCUCCCAUAAGGAAGAUUUCAUGGCAUUUGGCCUUCUUUCAGACCUAAAAUUAAGGGGGUAAAAAAAAUUUCAUGGCCUGAAAAUUGAAGCCUAUGCAAUCCUAUCUUAUGCCGACUUUGAUGAGGUCCCAUCGGGUGUUUCACACUUUCUUCGUAAAGAUUUGCGCUUCACUUAAACGUCCUUGGGAAAGGUAAUAGAAUUAGUUUAUUUGAUUCAAUUCUUCGGCAAAAAUACUUCAGGCUAUCCCCUUUCACGCAUUUACGACAUGUAUAUUGAGUAUAAAUUCAUUGAAUUUGACCGAAAUGAAGGAUUGUGGGAUUUUUUUUUUCCUUUUUUUUGUGUGGGAGGGGACGGUUGUGUCCAUGUUGCUUCAUUUUUUCGUUUCUAUAGAUAUCGAGAUUUGACUGAUGUAAUUGAUUUUUUCAAUCGUCAUAACCACAUUAAAAAAUCAGGUCAACAAAAAAUCCCUAUUAUUGCACCCGCCCUCAUUUUCAAUUGAAUCCAUCCAACCCCUAUUGUUGUUGCCUUUUUCUCAAUUAAAGAAUAUCAAGGUUGCAUAGUGUGCUGAACAAUUUCCAGCAAUUCGUUAAUAAAUUUUGUUAUUUUUUAAUAAAAGAACUAAGUUUUUGCCAAUUGAACAAAUUAGAGAGCAUAGUGAGAAAUCGACAUUCUUGGCGAGGGUAAGUUGCAAUUAACCCAUUGCCGUUUCAAAUAUUCCUCUUAUUAGAAGCAAGUGAUUACUACGAUAUUCCAAUUGCAUCAGCGUAUGAAAAGUCAAUCACAUACUGCACACGCUAAUUGUUCAAAAGUCCUACAUUUUGUCUUCAAACGUUUUACCGAAAUGCAGUUAAUGUGAUAAAUUUGCUUGAGGUUGUCGAAGAUAAGCACAGUUACAAUAUAGACAUAUGAAAAAAAAACACUAUUGAAAACAUAUUAUUACUAAGUACAACAUUCUUUAACAUUUUUCACCAAAAAAAAUGUUAAAUAAAUAAAUAAGUAAUCAAAAAGAUAUUCCUGUUAUAAAUUUUGAUUUAUGCAUCUAUAUCUUUUUUCCGUAUGAUAAAAACAUGUCUUCUUUGUUUAACAAAUUGACUACUGCAUCUAAUUCUUGUUCUCCAUUCACUGCUCAGAGUUUUUCGUCAUCAAUCACCGGACCGCAGCAUCAGAUUUCCCAGUCCCUAAGGGGAGUGCCAUAUUAAAUGAAGCGAAUGAAACAUAUACGAGCUAGUACUUAAAACUAAGUAGAGACAAUUUCCUCAAAGGCUUGAACAGGUCAUGAAUACAGAUUGGUUUCUUGAUAAUUUACACCGGUGAACACGUCAACAGAUGGAUUGCUUUUUCAAUCCAAUCAAAAACGCUUAACGUACGUUUACAUGAAUCACAAAAACAAUUCUACUCAAAACUAAACUUGGGAAAAAAAAUAAAAAAGAAAGGAGGAGGAUCAGAGAAAGGAAUACACAAGAAAUUAAGAUUGGGACGACCAUUCUCAGAUUUAC